GACAGAGGGUGCAACCGUUGUUCGGAUUUACUGGGCGUAAAGCGCGUGUAGGCGGCUUUGCAAGUCGGAUGUGAAAGCCCACGGCUCAACCGUGGAAGUGCAUCCGAAACUGCAUGGCUCGAGUCUCGGAGAGGAAGGUGGAAUGCUUGGUGUAGAGGUGAAAUUCGUAGAUAUCAAGCAGAACACCUGCGGCGAAGGCGGCCUUCUGGACGAUGACUGACGCUGAGACGCGAAGGCGUGGGGAGCAAACAGG
rnacentral:rRNA from 1 species